CACCUUUUUUUUCCUUGGUAGAUGUCAAGUAUUGGUGGUAAUACAAAAUCAACGGUGGAGAGUCCUAGUACCAAUCCUAUUCCUGCACCUUUUGAUAUUGGCCAUUAGGCAAAGCCUCCUAAGGGCAGUGGAAAAAAGAAAUUUUCUUGAGUGUCGGAGCACUUCACCAAGAUUGAUUAUGAAGGUCUAAGUGAGCAAAGGGCGACAUGUAACUAUUAUAGUAAGGAUCUUGCUUGUCCACCUGCUAAUGGCACUAGUUGUUUACAUAAUCACUUGAAUAGAUGCAAAAGGUAUCCACACAAUCAAGUGGAUAAGAAGCAAAAGACUUUAUCCUUUCAACCAAUAGUAGGAAAGGAGGGAAGCACUACACAAACACUAGCCGCUUGGGUUUUUGAUCAAGAAAAGUGUAGAAAGUCACUUGCUAGAAUGAUUAUCAUUGAUGAGUUGCCUUUUAAAUAUGUUGAACGUAAGGGAUUUUAUGAUUUUUGCAAUGAUAUGCUACCACAUUUUGAAGUCCCUUCACGAUGCAUACCUUCUAAAGAUUGUUAUAAUCUUUUCUUGCAUGAGAAGAAGUUGAACUUUUUUAAAAAAUUAUCUUCUAGAGUUUGUCUCACCACAGAAACAUGGAUUUCUUUGCAAAAUCUUAAUUAUAUGUGUCUCACUGCUCAUUUUAUUGAUGAUGAUUGAAAGUUGCACAAAAAGAUCUAAAACUUUUGUCUAAUUUUUGGGCAUUCGGGUGAAGUAAUUGGAAGAACAGUUGAGAGUUGUUUGCUUGACUAGGGUAUUGAUAGGGUGAUGACAAUAGCAGUUGAUAAUGCUAGCUCAAAUGAUGUGGGAAUUCAAUAUUUGAAAAGAAGAUUUAAUAGUUGGAAAGGGACUGUCUUAAAGGAUGAGUUCUUAGACAUAAGGUGUGUUGCACAUAUACUAAGCUUGGUUGUUAAAGAUGGAUUAUUGGAGGUGGAUGAUUCUAUUGUUAGAAUCCGCAGUGUUGUGAAAUAUGUUAGAUCUUCUCCGGCUAGGUUGCAAAGGUUUAAAAAUUGUGUGUAGAAAGAGAAAAUAGUGUAAAAGCAUGGUUUGCUUGGAUGUAAAAAUGAGGUGGAAUUCUACUUUCUUGAUAUUAGAGACAACUCUCAAAUUUCAAAAAGUGUUUGAAUUAUUGGAGAGUCAAGAUUCUAAAUAUGUGGAGGAGCUUUCUAAUACUGCCAAAAACAAAAACAACAUUGGUGUGCCUAAUGAAAGUGAUUGGGAUUAUGCAUGCAACUUGUUGCCAUUCCUUAGGAUUUUUAUGAUGUCACCACGAAAUUGUGUGGCUCACAUUAUGUCACUGGUAAUGAGUACAUAAAAGAAAUUUUUGGCAUUAGAAUGAUCAUCUCUAGGAGGUGCACUUUGGAAGAUGUUGGUACAAGUUUGAUAGCUUCCAAAAUGAAGAGGAAGCAUGACAAAUAUUGGGCAAAUAUUGAUAACAUCAAUCUUUUAUUAUUCAUUGUUGUGGUUGUUGAUCCUUGUUAUAAGUUACAAUAUGUGAAUUGGAUAAUUGGUGAGUCCUAUGAACUUGAAAAGGCAAAAAAAUUGCAGGACAAAGUGCAACAGGUUUUGAAUUCUUUAUUGGAUUUGUAUAGUUGCACACAAUCAUCUUCUAAUGUACAAUCAAGUGUUCAAUCUCAAGAAGCAUGUGAGAUGGAGGUUAAUACUGUAGAAGAUGUUGCGGAUUUCAUGGAUUCAUUGUAUACAAAGCAACAAAUGGACCAAGGGAAUGCGGAGAACAAAAAUGAGUUGGAUAAAUAUUUAGGGGAGGAGUGUGAAAAUCGUAAGAAUAAGUCCUUUGAUGUGUUGAAUUGAUGGAAAGUUAAUUCCUCCAAGUAUUGGAUCCUUGCAUCUAUGGCUUGUGAUGUGUUGGCUAUGCUGGUAUGAACCGUUGCUUCAGAAUCUGCUUUUAGCACUGGAGGUCGUGUGCUCAAUCCAUUUCAUAGCUCUCUAAUGCCAAGAAUGGUAGAGGCUCUUGUUUGUGGUUAGGAUUCGUUACGAAGGGCCUGUGUUCCAUUUUAUGUGGAGGAAAUGAUAGAUGAGGCAGAGUCAAUGGAUUCAGAUGCAUCAUGCAUAACGGAUGAACAUCAUGUGAUCACCAUUGAUGACUAAGUGUCGCAUUUGAAGAUUUGUCAAGCUUUAUUGGAUGGCUUCCAUUUGAAGUGACUUGUGAUGGAAAGAAGAUAUGGGAUCUUAUUUGGUGUUGUGACUUAUGCUCGUGUUGCUCAAGAACUUAGUUUUUAUGAUAUUUUAGAUGUAUUGGAUAAUUGAAGCUAUGCUAUUGUGUGUUUUAUUUGACAUUUGGGAUUGUAUUUGAUGGUAUUGUGUAUUUGUUAUUAGGUGGCUUUUUAUGACACUUAUCAUGGAAGGACUUUAGUAACUCAAGCCAUGCUGUAUGAUUUUAUAUGGAGUUAUUAUUAUUAUUUUGGUUAUAUUAGAAUAUCUAUUAGAUUUCAUUUU